UACGUAGGGUGCGAGCGUUAAUCGGAAUUACUGGGCGUAAAGCGUGCGCAGGCGGCUUUGCAAGACAGAUGUGAAAUCCCCGGGCUCAACCUGGGAACUGCAUUUGUGACUGCAAGGCUGGAGUGCGGCAGAGGGGGAUGGAAUUCCGCGUGUAGCAGUGAAAUGCGUAGAUAUGCGGAGGAACACCGAUGGCGAAGGCAAUCCCCUGGGCCUGCACUGACGCUCAUGCACGAAAGCGUGGGGAGCGAACAGG
rnacentral:rRNA from 1 species